rnacentral:rRNA from 1 species
CGCUGGCGGCAGGCCUAACACAUGCAAGUCGAGCGGAUGAAGGGAGCUUGCUCCUGGAUUCAGCGGCGGACGGGUGAGUAAUGCCUAGGAAUCUGCCUGGUAGUGGGGGAUAACGUCCGGAAACGGGCGCUAAUACCGCAUACGUCCUGAGGGAGAAAGUGGGGGAUCUUCGGACCUCACGCUAUCAGAUGAGCCUAGGUCGGAUUAGCUAGUUGGUGGGGUAAAGGCCUACCAAGGCGACGAUCCGUAACUGGUCUGAGAGGAUGAUCAGUCACACUGGAACUGAGACACGGUCCAGACUCCUACGGGAGGCAGCAGUGGGGAAUAUUGGACAAUGGGCGAAAGCCUGAUCCAGCCAUGCCGCGUGUGUGAAGAAGGUCUUCGGAUUGUAAAGCACUUUAAGUUGGGAGGAAGGGCAGUAAGUUAAUACCUUGCUGUUUUGACGUUACCAACAGAAUAAGCACCGGCUAACUUCGUGCCAGCAGCCGCGGUAAUACGAAGGGUGCAAGCGUUAAUCGGAAUUACUGGGCGUAAAGCGCGCGUAGGUGGUUCAGCAAGUUGGAUGUGAAAUCCCCGGGCUCAACCUGGGAACUGCAUCCAAAACUACUGAGCUAGAGUACGGUAGAGGGUGGUGGAAUUUCCUGUGUAGCGGUGAAAUGCGUAGAUAUAGGAAGGAACACCAGUGGCGAAGGCGACCACCUGGACUGAUACUGACACUGAGGUGCGAAAGCGUGGGGAGCAAACAGGAUUAGAUACCCUGGUAGUCCACGCCGUAAACGAUGUCGACUAGCCGUUGGGAUCCUUGAGAUCUUAGUGGCGCAGCUAACGCGAUAAGUC